AGCUAGUUAGCAUGGAUACAGAGUGCACCGGACUAAAACUAUAAAACAUUUGCAGCCAUUAACUUAUAGGUGGUAGUAACACGGAAAUGACUCUUUCUGCGUCAAAAUAAGACAGACACAACAAUGAAGAGAUGACAAAGACACAGUUUGAAAAAUCGCAGGAGCCGUUGCUGUCCGGACGACGGAGGAACUUCAGCUGGGG